rnacentral:rRNA from 1 species
GACGAACGCUGGCGGCGUGCCUAAUACAUGCAAGUUGGGCGCUGAAGGUUGGUACUUGUACCAACUGGAUGAGCAGCGAACGGGUGAGUAACGCGUGGGGAAUCUGCCUUUGAGCGGGGGACAACAUUUGGAAACGAAUGCUAAUACCGCAUAAAAACUUUAAACACAAGUUUUAAGUUUGAAAGAUGCAAUUGCAUCACUCAAAGAUGAUCCCGCGUUGUAUUAGCUAGUUGGUGAGGUAAAGGCUCACCAAGGCGAUGAUACAUAGCCGACCUGAGAGGGUGGUCGGCCACAUUGGGACUGAGACACGGCCCAAACUCCUACGGGAGGCAGCAGUAGGGAAUCUUCGGCAAUGGACGAAAGUCUGACCGGGCAACGCCGCGUGAGUGAAGAAGGUUUUCGGAUCGUAAAACUCUGUUGGUAGAGAAGAACGUUGGUGAGAGUGGAAAGCUCAUCAAGUGACGGUAACUACCCAGAAAGGGACGGCUAACUACGUG